rnacentral:lncRNA from 1 species
GCGAAUCCCUACUUUGUGUGGUAACAGACACUCAGCAUUGGCUCUAAUCACAUCAGGAUUCGUGAAUGGAAGUCCAUGUUGCUGAAUAUAUGUAUAACCCUGUCACUUCCCUAAGGCCACUCUGUUCAUGAGUCCAUUAUGCAAUGACAGAUGGCCCUAAUAGGUGUUCAAAUAUCACCAUGGGACCUGCUGCAACUGGAGAUCUUCAAGGAGCUCUGCCACCCUGCUUCCUAAGACAUCCCUGAGACAUCAGAAGCCUUAGAACAUGAUUGCUUACAAGUUAUUGAGACGGUGUGUUCUAGCCGACUUGAUUUUUUGGACUGUCUGUUGGAAGAACCAGACUUGGAAAUCUUCACAGAUUGCAGAAGUUUCAUGGAUCAAGAAGGAUAAGGGACCAGCUUUUGUCUCCCACCUAAUCCAACAAGAGUCCAAAAGCCUAGAUGUCUGAUGGAUACUACACAGUUUGGAGACCUCAGUCAACUGGAAAGACAGAGAAAAUGAACCACACCUUAAAGAAGACCAUUGGCAAACUCUGUCAGGAAACACAACUAACUUGGAAUAAGGUCUGUAUAGCCAUCUGACGUCCCUCUAUACACCUUCCAACCUGGUGGUCAUGUUUUCCUGAAAACUUGGAGAGACAAAGGACCUGAAAACCACUUGUCACCCAAAUGGACAGGCCGCUUUGAGAUUGUUCUCACUACUCACUCGUAAAUAAAGCUUGCAGGUGUGCAACCCUGGAUCCAUCAGUCCAAGAUCAAGGCAGCCCCAGAAUCACAGGAAAGUACCCCACCUGUGUUGAGGGAAAAGUGGACAGCAGAUCCCCUUGGAGAACUAAAAUAUGUCUUUAAAAUAAAAAUUUCACCUUUGUUAUCUAA